rnacentral:rRNA from 1 species
GAUGAACGCUGGCGGCGUGCUUUAUACAUGCAAGUCGAACGAUCCUUUUAGGAUAGUGGCAAACGGGUGAGUAACACGUGGGUAAUCUACCCUAAAGUGUGGAAUAACCUGCUGAAAGGUAGGCUAAUACCACAUGUGGUGCUAAGGUGCAAAUCCUUAUCACUAAAGAUUUAUCGCUUUAGGAGGAGCCUGCGGCUGAUUAGCUUGUUGGUAAGGUAACGGCUUACCAAGGCUACGAUCAGUAGCUGGACUGAGAGGUCGGUCAGCCACACUGGAACUGAGACACGGUCCAGACUCCUACGGGAGGCAGCAGUAAGGAAUCUUCCGCAAUGGGCGCAAGCCUGACGGAGCGACGCCGCGUGCAGGAUGAAGGUCUUCGGAUCGUAAACUGCUUUUCUAUGGGACGAAAAUUCGGACUGUACCAUAGGAAUAAGCGUCGGCUAACUACGUG